UAAGAAGUGUGUAGGUUUUGAGUUAAAAUCAAUAGUUCAUUCAUUAGUAAUUGAGGUUUAAAUCUGUUGUAGGAAUUACUAGGAUUUGAUUUAGGAUUUAGGGUUUGAUUAGGAUUUGGUUAGGAUUUGAUUUAGGAUUUAAGAUUUGGUUAGGAUUUGAUUUAGGAUUAGGAUUUGGUUUAGAGUUUAAGAUUUGAUUAGAAUUUUAUUUAAGAUUUAGGAUUUGGUUAAGAGUUUGAUUUAGGAUUUGAUUUAGGAUUUAGAAUUUGAUUAGGAUUUGAUUUAGGAUUUAGGAUUUGUUUAGGAUUUAGUUUAUGAUUCAAUGUUUAUUUGAGGUUUGAUUUAGAGUUUAGGGUUUGAUUAGGAUUUGGUUAGGAUUUAAUUUUGGAUUAGAGUUUGGUUUAGAAAUUAGAAUUUAGUUAGGAUUUGGUUAGGGUUUGAUUAGAUUUAGAGUUUGGUUAGGGUUUAGGAUUUUAUUAGGAUUUAUUUAGAAUUUAAGAUUUAGUUAGUUUUUGGUCUAAAGUUUGAAUGAAGUCUAAUAGGACUUUAACUAGGAUUAAAUUAAAAUUGAAUUGAGAUGUAUUUGAGAUAUAUUUGUGAUCAUUCUAAUAUUUCUUUAAGAUUUCUUAUUUUUUCUUUGUAAUUCCUUUGAGGUUUUUUUGAAUUUGAUUAAAGCUUACUUAGCAUUGUUGUGGUUUAAUUAGAAUCUGGUUACUAUUCUAUUAGAGUUAGGAUUU
rnacentral:lncRNA from 1 species